GAAAAUGCAAAGACGGAGAGAAGUAAGAGGCAGAAAUCUUCCAGAGAGUGGCGGGUUGGUGCAACGCCAUAGAGGGAACCUUUGAAAUACACUCCCGAGCAGCCGGUUGAAAAAUCAUUUGGAUUUAGUAGGCCGCGCCGGAAUGCCACCGUUAUCAGAGGCUAGGAUAUGCAUGUAUCCGAAAAGAGAGGCUUGCAACUGGCAAGCAGGGUGGUACCACGGGUAUAACAGCUCGUCCCUGUG
rnacentral:ncRNA from 1 species